rnacentral:lncRNA from 1 species
UACACUUCCACAUUGCUGUUCAUCACCAAGGAAGCCAGGACUGGAACUCAAGCAGGUCAGGAAGCAGGAGCUGAUGCAGAGGCCAUGGAGGGAUGUUCUUUACUGGCUUGCUUCCCCUGGCUUGCUCAGCCUGCUCUCUUAUAGAAACCAAGACUACCAGCCCAGAGAUGGUCCCACCCACAAGGGGCCUUUCCCCCUUGGUCACUAAUUGAGAAAAUGCCUUACAGUUGGAUCUCAUGGAGGCAUUUCCUCAACUGAAGCUCCUUUCUCUGUGAUAACUCCAGCUGUGUCAAGUUGACGCAAAACUAGCCAGUACAACCACACUGCAUCCCCAUGGCAGCUUAGAAGAGCAAAAAAGGCCCAGGUGAGGUUUCUCUUCCUGAACAUGUUAGUGAUGAGAAAUCUGUAGCUGAGAAGCUGAUGGUUGCUGUCAUGUGUUAACUGUCCACCACAGGCCUUACACACAGGGGAAUCUCACAGAUGGGGGGGGGGAGAUACACAGCUGUAAUUCCACACUUGGGAGAGAGAGGUAGAAGGUCAGGAGUUCAAGGUCAUACUCAGUAAUAUAGUAAAUUCAACGACAGCCUACAUUACAUGAGACCUUGUUUCAGAAAUACGGGGAAAGAAUGACAUGUGAUUUCUGCAGUGGAGACAUGGCAUUUCUCUUUUGAAUAAACUAAGGCAUGCAGUCAGUGACACAUUUGGCAAGGCACAUGCAGUGCUUAAUCUCCUGAUCCUGGCUGACAGCAAAGACACACAUUUUCCUUAUUUGCACUCCUUGUCCAGGCCACGGGGAAGACACUGCUGCUAGGAGCCAAUCCCUUUGACUGCAUGAGCUUAGAUAUUAACAGCCUCUGAGCAGCUCCGAAGUGUGGGUUCUAAGGCUCUUUGAAUCGGGCUUCUCUUUGGUAGGCAAAGGGUGGUCCUUGAUUGAUGGCAUAUGCCUAAAGGAUAAGGCCGAAGACCUAAGAGAUUUCUCCUCCCCACUUUAUAGAAGGUUAGUGAAGCCAUAGCUUCUAGGAUCAGAACUGCUUUAUAGCUUUCCCUCAUUCUCAGACACUCUGGUAACAUCACACAUGUUAGAAAAUCAGCAUCGCGCAUGCAUUGCACAUGCGUCGUGCAUGCGUCUCUAUGAGCUGGAGCUGCCCUGGUAAUCUAUACAGACUGGGGGUUGAACAGCAGAGACAUACUCUAGAGACAGGCUAGAGUCGAACAUCCAAGUACCGACAGGAUUGGUCUCUCCAGAGGCGUCUCUCCUUAGCUUAUGGAUUGAUUACCUUCUUGUUGGGUCCUCACCCUAGUCUGCUCUCCUCAUAAGGAAGACAGACAGAUUGGAUUAGGGUUCACUCUAAUAACCCUAUUUAAACUUACUCAUCGUGUGUGUGUGUGUGUGUGUGUGUGUGUGUGAUGUGCAUGUUGGGGGUAUGUAUGUCUAUGUGCCGUUAUGUGCAUGUUCCUAUGGAAGUCAGAGGUUCACAUUGAGUGUGUUCCUCUCUGGCUCUCUUCACUUUAUUUCUUGAGACAAGGUUUCUCACUGAACCUAAGUCACGGAUUUGGCUAAACUUGGCAGCAAGUCCCAGAUGUCCUCCUCUCUCUGUCCUCCCCACACUCCCUGGCACUAGUGUUAUAGCUGUUAACUUUCAUGUGUAGUCUUUAGAUGUAUGUUGGGUGUCCACUCAUGCUUGCCCAGCAGCUCGUGCCUUGAGCACGUUAAGCUGCCUCCCUAGUCCUUAUUCACCUCUUUAACUUAUGUGGUGGUCUGAAUAUGCUCGACCCAUAGGGAGUGGUACUGUUAGGAGGUGUGGCCUUGGUGGAGGAAGAGUGUCAUUGUGGGGGUGGGCAUUGGAGGCCUCCUAUACUCAGGCUCCACCCAUUGUAGAAGACAGCUUCCUCUUAGAUGCCUGAGGAUGCCAGCCUCUCCUGGUUGCCUUUGAAUUAGGAUGCAGAACUCUCAGCUCCUUCUCCAGCACCAUGUCUACCUGCACGAUGCCAUGCUUCCUGCUAUGAUGAUAUUGGACUAAACCUCUGAGACUCUAAGCCAGCCCCAAUUAAAUGUUUGUCUUU